AGAGUUUGAUCCUGGCUCAUAUUGAACGCUGGCGGCAUGCCUUACACAUGCAAGUCGAACGGUAACGCGGGGGCAACCCUGGCGACGAGUGGCGAACGGGUGAGUAAUACAUCGGAACAUAUCCAGUAGCGGGGGAUAACCUAUCGAAAGAUGGACUAAUACCGCAUACGAUCUACGGAUGAAAGCAGGGGACCGCAAGGCCUUGCACUAUUGGAGUGGCCGAUGUCGGAUUAGCUAGUUGGUGGGGUAAAAGCUUACCAAGGCGACGAUCCGUAGCUGGUCUGAGAGGACGAUCAGCCACACUGGAACUGAGACACGGUCCAGACUCCUACGGGAGGCAGCAGUGGGGAAUUUUGGACAAUGGGCGCAAGCCUGAUCCAGCCAUGCCGCGUGAGUGAAGAAGGCCUUCGGGUUGUAAAGCUCUUUCGGUGAAGACGAAACGGUUCAUGCUAAUAACGUGAACUAAUGACGGUACUCACAGAAGAAGCACCGGCUAACUACGUGCCAGCAGCCGCGGUAAUACGUAGGGUGCAGGCGUUAAUCGGAAUUACUGGGCGUAAAGCGUGCGCAGGCGGUUUGCUAAGACAGGUGUGAAAUCCCCGGGCUUAACCUGGGAAUUGCGCUUGUAACUGGCAAGCUAGAGUGUGGCAGAGGGGGGUGGAAUUCCACGUGUAGCAGUGAAAUGCGUAGAUAUGUGGAGGAACACCGAUGGCGAAGGCAGCCCCCUGGGUUAACACUGACGCUCAUGCACGAAAGCGUGGGGAGCAAACAGGAUUAGAUACCCUGGUAGUCCACGCCCUAAACUAUGUCAACUAGUUGUCGGGGAAGAGAUUCCUUGGUAACGAAGCUAACGCGUGAAGUUGACCGCCUGGGGAGUACGGCCGCAAGGUUAAAACUCAAAGGAAUUGACGGGGACCCGCACAAGCGGUGGAUUACGUGGAUUAAUUCGAUGCAACGCGAAAAACCUUACCUACCCUUGACAUGCUAGGAAGCCCGCAGAGAUGUGGGUGUGCCCGAAAGGGAACCUAGACACAGGUGCUGCAUGGCUGUCGUCAGCUCGUGUCGUGAGAUGUUGGGUUAAGUCCCGCAACGAGCGCAACCCUUGCCAUUAGUUGCUACAUUCAGUUGGGCACUCUAAUGGGACCGCCGGUGACAAACCGGAGGAAGGUGGGGACGACGUCAAGUCCUCAUGGCCCUUAUGGGUAGGGCUUCACACGUAAUACAAUGGUCGGUACAGAGGGCUGCCAACCCGCAAGGGGGAGCUAAUCCCAGAAAGCCGAUCGUAGUCCGGAUUGUAGUCUGCAACUCGACUGCAUGAAGCCGGAAUCGCUAGUAAUCGCGGAUCAGCAUGUCGCGGUGAAUACGUUCCCGGGUCUUGUACACACCGCCCGUCACACCAUGGGAGUGGGUUCCACCAGAAGUAGUUAGCCUAACCGCAAGGAGGGCGAUUACCACGGUGAGAUUCAUGACUGGGGUGAAGUCGUAACAAGGUA
rnacentral:rRNA from 1 species